GCUUCCCUCUGGCGGCGUGCCUAAUACAUGCAAGUCGAGCGAACGGACGAGAAGCUUGCUUUUCUGAUGUUAGCGGCGGACGGGGGAGGAACACGUGGAUAACCUACCUAUAAGACUGGGAUAACUUCGGGAAACCGGAGCUAAUACCGGAUAAUAUUUUGAACCGCAUGGUUCAAAAGUGAAAGACGGUCUUGCUGUCACUUAUAGAUGGAUCCGCGCUGCAUUAGCUAGUUGGUAAGGUAACGGCUUACCAAGGCAACGAUGCAUAGCCGACCUGAGAGGGUGAUCGGCCACACUGGAACUGAGACACGGUCCAGACUCCUACGGGAGGCAGCAGUAGGGAAUCUUCCGCAAUGGGCGAAAGCCUGACGGAGCAACGCCGCGUGAGUGAUGAAGGUCUUCGGAUCGUAAAACUCUGUUAUUAGGGAAGAACAUAUGUGUAAGUAACUGUGCACAUCUUGACGGUACCUAAUCAGAAAGCCACGGCUAACUACGUG
rnacentral:rRNA from 1 species